rnacentral:rRNA from 1 species
CUGCUUCGCUGACGAGUGGCGGACGGGUGAGUAAUGUCUGGGAAACUGCCUGAUGGAGGGGGAUAACUACUGGAAACGGUAGCUAAUACCGCAUAACGUCGCAAGACCAAAGAGGGGGACCUUCGGGCCUCUUGCCAUCGGAUGUGCCCAGAUGGGAUUAGCUAGUAGGUGGGGUAACGGCUCACCUAGGCGACGAUCCCUAGCUGGUCUGAGAGGAUGACCAGCCACACUGGAACUGAGACACGGUCCAGACUCCUACGGGAGGCAGCAGUGGGGAAUAUUGCACAAUGGGCGCAAGCCUGAUGCAGCCAUGCCGCGUGUAUGAAGAAGGCCUUCGGGUUGUAAAGUACUUUCAGCGGGGAGGAAGGGAGUAAAGUUAAUACCUUUGCUCAUUGACGUUACCCGCAGAAGAAGCACCGGCUAACUCCGUGCCAGCAGCCGCGGUAAUACGGAGGGUGCAAGCGUUAAUCGGAAUUACUGGGCGUAAAGCGCACGCAGGCGGUUUGUUAAGUCAGAUGUGAAAUCCCCGGGCUCAACCUGGGAACUGCAUCUGAUACUGGCAAGCUUGAGUCUCG